rnacentral:lncRNA from 1 species
CCGCAGCUAAGGUCCAGCGCGAUCCGAGCGCCCAGGACCCUGCGGCCGUGGAGGAGGCGUGCCCUGGGAAGGAGCCGCUACUGGGACCUGAAGAGUGAGGGGAGGGAGAGGGGCCCAGAGGGUGACCUGGAGGAGGGCUCUGGAAGUCACGUCAGAUUUUAGGUGAUGGGCAAGUCAGAAAGUCAGAUGGAUAUAACUGAUAUCAACACUCCAAAGCCAAAGAAGAAACAGCGAUGGACUCCACUGGAGAUCAGCCUCUCGGUCCUUGUCCUGCUCCUCACCAUCAUAGCUGUGACAAUGAUCGCACUCUAUGCAACCUACGAUGAUGGUAUUUGCAAGUCAUCAGACUGCAUAAAAUCAGAGGAGUCCAACUACAGUGCCUUCACCGUGAAGCUAAUGAAAAGGGAGUUGGUCCACUGUGUAGACUAGACUAGAUGAUUGCGAAGUUAAAUUGAAGUAAUUGAGCAGGUACCCAAUAGCCAGCAGCGGAUUUGUUUCUCUGUUCUUGAUGCUUAAGUAAAAACAAGCAAGCCAAGUAUUAAAUGGUGGAGCUCCUGACAACACAGCUUCAUAAAAAAGAAACUGCUUGACUCAAGGAGUGUGUCCUUGCGAUAGUUUGCCGAGAAUGAUGGUUUCCAGCUUCAUCCAUGUCCCUACAAAGGACAUGAACUCAUCCUUUUUAUGGCUGCAUAGUAUUCCAUGGUGUAUAUGUGCCACAUUUUCUUAAUCCAGUCUAUCAUUGUUGGACAUUUGGGUUGGUUCCAAGUCUUUGCUAUUGUGAGUAGUGCUGCAAUAAACAUACAUGUGCAUGUGUCUUUAUAGCAGCAUGAUUUAUAUUCCUUUGGGUAUAUACCCAGUAAUGGGAUGGCUGGGUCAAAUGGUAUUUCUAGUUCAAGAAAACCGAGGCAAUACCAUUCAGGACAUAGGCAUGGGCAAGGACUUCAUGUCUAAAACACCAAAAGCAAUGGCCACAAAAGCCAAAAUUGACAAAUGGGAUCUAAUUAAACUAAAGAGCUUCUGCGCAGCAAAAGAAACUACCAUCAGAGUGAACAGGCAACCUACAGAAUGGGAGAAAAGUUUUGCAAUUUACUCAUCUGACAAAGGGCUAGUAUUCAGAAUCUACAAAGAACUCCAACAAAUUUACAAGAAAAAAACAAGCAACCCCAUCAAAAAGUGGGCAAAGGAUAUGAACAGACACUUCUCAAAAGAAGACAUUUAUGCAUCCGACAGACACAUGAAAAAAUGCUCAUCAUCACUGGCCAUCAGAGAAAUGCAAAUCAAAACCACAAUGAGAUAUCAUCUCACACCAGUUAGAAUGGCGAUCAUUAAAAAGUCAAGAAACAACAGGUGCUGGAGAGGAUGUGGAGAAAUAGGAACACUUUUACACUGUUGGUGGGAGUGUAAACUAGUUCAGCCAUUGUGGAAGACAGUGUGGUGAUUCCUCAGAGAAAUAAUUUUAAUAAUGUUUGAGUGAAUCAAAUAUACAAAUAGUAUUGUGAUGCAGUGUACCCACAAUCAUUAACUCAACUAUGAAUUACUCAAAGCACUGUAGAUAAUAGUCUAGCAAGGAUCUGACAAUAUGUUGAGAAGAAAUGAUGCACAUGAAACCUUGAAAGUCACCUUAAAGAAACUCAUAUCAUGCAAAUAUGAAUAUUUUAAUAGCUACUAUAAAAUAGUAGAGCUGAGUGCUGUGGCACACACCUGUAGUCCAGCUACUCAGGAGGCUGAGGCAGCAGGAUCACUUGAGCCCAGGAGUUGGAGAUUAGCCUGGGCAAUGUGGCAAGACCCCAUCUUCAAUAAAUAAAUAAAUAACUUAGUAGCAAUUGGUGCUA